CAGUAGCCGCGGUAAUACGUAGGGUGCGAGCGUUGAUCGGAAUUACUGGGCGUAAAGCGUGCGCAGGCGGUUGUGUAAGACAGGUGUGAAAUCCCCGGGCUUAACCUGGGAACUGCGCUUGUGACUGCACAGCUAGAGUAUGGCAGAGGGGGGUGGAAUUCCACGUGUAGCAGUGAAAUGCGUAGAGAUGUGGAGGAACACCGAUGGCGAAGGCAGCCCCCUGGGCCAAUACUGACGCUCAUGCACGAAAGCGUGGGGAGCAAACAGGAUUAGAUACCCCUGUAGUCCCUGUCUCUUAUAU
rnacentral:rRNA from 1 species